GAACUCGCUGUGAAGAUGCAGUGUACCCGCGGCAAGACGGAAAGACCCCGUGAACCUUUACUAUAGCUUGACACUGAACAUUGAGCCUUGAUGUGUAGGAUAGGUGGGAGGCUUUGAAGCGUGGACGCCAGUCUGCGUGGAGCCGACCUUGAAAUACCACCCUUUAAUGUUUGAUGUUCUAACGUGGACCCGUUACCCGGGUUGCGGACAGUGUCUGGUGGGUAGUUUGACUGGGGCGGUCUCCUCCUAAAGAGUAACGGAGGAGCACGAAGGUUGGCUAAUCCUGGUCGGACAUCAGGAGGUUAGUGCAAUGGCAUAAGCCAGCUUGACUGCGAGCGUGACGGCGCGAGCAGGUGCGAAAGCAGGUCAUAGUGAUCCGGUGGUUCUGAAUGGAAGGGCCAUCGCUCAACGGAUAAAAGGUACUCCGGGGAUAACAGGCUGAUACCGCCCAAGAGUUCAUAUCGACGGCGGUGUUUGGCACCUCGAUGUCGGCUCAUCACAUCCUGGGGCUGAAGUAGGUCCCAAGGGUAUGGCUGUUCGCCAUUUAAAGUGGUACGCGAGCUGGGUUUAGAACGUCGUGAGACAGUUCGGUCCCUAUCUGCCGUGGGCGCUGGAGAACUGAGGGGGGCUGCUCCUAGUACGAGAGGACCGGAGUGGACGCAUCACUGGUGUUCGGGUUGUCAUGCCAAUGGCACUGCCCGGUAGCUAAAUGCGGAAGAGAUAAGUGCUGAAAGCAUCUAAGCACGAAACUUGCCCCGA
rnacentral:rRNA from 1 species